rnacentral:rRNA from 1 species
CCUACGGGAGGCAGCAGUGGGGAAUAUUGCACAAUGGGGGAAACCCUGAUGCAGCGACGCCGCGUGAGUGAAGAAGUAUCCCGGUACGUAAAGCCUUUUCAGCAGGGAAGAAAAUGACGGUACCUGACUAAGAAGGCCCGGCUAACAAAGUGCCAGCAGCCGUGGGAAUCAGCAGGGGGCAAGCGUUAUCCGGAUUGACUGGGGGUAAAGGGUGCGUAGACGGCAGCGCAAGUCUGGAGUGAAAUCCCCGGGCUUAACCACGGAACUGCUUUGGAAACUGUGCGGCUGGAGUGCAGGAGAGGUAAGCGGAAUUCCUAGUGUAGCGGUGAAAUGCGUAGAUAUUAGGAGGAACACCGGUGGCGAAGGCGGCUUACUGGACUGUAACUGACGUUGAGGCUCGAAAGCGUGGGGAGCAAACAGGAUUAGAUACCCUUGUAGUC